rnacentral:lncRNA from 1 species
CAUUUGAUAAGGAAUCUCAUCUCGCCUACCCAUCUCAUUUUCCAGUGGUGCAAGCGGGUCAAUUCUUGCUGAAGUGCUUGCUGUUUCCAGGUUCAGAGGGGCCAUCUCCAGGACAUGUGCAAGGGGCAGGCCCUCUCUGGGUGCUGAGACAGCCCCUCAUUGCAGGAGACAAAACUUCCCACGCCGGCCCCCGCCCCCAGCCUGCACCCACCUGCCCCUGUUUUGGCCCCCGCUUCCCUCUCCGCAGCAUCUCCAGUGGGCUGCUUCCCCUCCCAGCCCUGGGAGCUUUAUUUCCAACUGAGAUACAAUUACAGAUCGUGUUCCUUUCCCCCCUUUUUCUUUUUAAUAAAGCUGUUUUGUGUCCCCACCCCCCCUUUGCAUUCCUCCCAUCUUAGUCCUUCCUUUCCCCUCUCCUGUAGGAAAUGUCUCGGAUUCUCUCGCUGGGGUGUAAUGGUUAAAUUGCUACCAGCUGAUUAAACAGCAGAAGUCCAGCAUGUAAUCCUCAGCGUUCAGGAACCGGGGAGGCAGAGACAGGGCCCUGGCCUUCUUCGCCCCUGCUGACCCCCCUGCGAUGUGCCUGCCCUGGUUUCACUUCUUUCAUUUGUCCCGGGCUGCAUAGAAUCCUCCGGGAUGGGGCGAGGGGAGGGGAAGGAGGGGAAAGGAGCGGGGAGGAGAGGGAGGGGAGGAUGCCUCCACGGGCUCUGGCCCAACCUCCAAGGAAUGUCUGUUCCCACCCCGUCCCUUCCCAGCCCCCCUGUAAAACCACAUACUCACAGCCAUGCUCACACACUCACAUAUGCAUAAACAUACAGGCUCUCACACACACAGCCCGUCACACACAUUCACACGCCCAGGCUCUUUCUCGUCCUCUGCGGAAUGAAGACCAGAUGAAGGAGGCAGCCGGUCCGCCCUGCCCCCUCUCCUGGGAAACCUUCCCACACCUGCCCCCACACCGGGAAGGAUGGGGAGAUCCGGCAAUAACUGAAGGGAAGAGGAUUACAUUACGAAUGAGCGUAAAAUGAUUAUUUUACUCAAGAGGGUUAUUUCACAAAGAGGGUGAGCCGCUCACCCGUCUGGAGAAACAGGGUUUGAAAACAAGUCUGUUCAGCUUCACCGCCCGGGCCCUGAACUUCGCAAUAAGCUAUUCUGUGCUUUAGUUACCUGCAGACUUGUCCCCCUUCUCUCAACCUUGGGUCGCCAUGUCCCCUAGGGUAUAGGAUUUGAGAGAGCAGGGAGGCACAGCCAUUAUUUUCAAAAAGAAAUUAUAUAAACUUACAAUUAAAUAAAUUAUAUUAAAAGCAAAGAAAAUAAGUACUC